UACGUAGGGGGCUAGCGUUGUCCGGAAUCAUUGGGCGUAAAGCGCGCGUAGGCGGCCCGGUAAGUCCGCUGUAAAAGUCAAAGGCUCAACCUUUGAAUGUCAGUGGAUACUGCCGGGCUAGAGUCCGGAAGAGGCGAGUGGAACUCCUGGUGUAGCGGUGGAAAUGCGCAGAUAUCAGGAAGAACACCAACGGCGAAGGCAGCUCGCUGGGACGGUACUGACGCUGAGAGCGACGAAGCGUGGGGAGCGAACAGG
rnacentral:rRNA from 1 species